UUAUGCUCAUAGACAUCACGACAAUUACAUCGGUGAGAAAUACACGCGAUGUAAAACAAUGUCAUUAACAUCGAUUCCUCAAAAACCGAUUUCUAUGAAUAUAACUAACAUCGUUUUUUACUGUUGACCGAUGUCUAUAUUUUGAAUCAAAAAUUUUCAAAAACGCGGAAAAGACUAAGUUAAAAAUUUCAAUACGCGGGGAACAAAAUUUUCGUUUCCACACACUUGGUCAGUUUUCCCACUCUCUCUGGCAGCCCGUUUUCAUCCUUACUCACUAUCUCUAACAAAACUGAAGACCCAUCUCUCCGACUUUUCCUCAAAACCCUAGCCCACUCCUCCUUCCUCUUCCGCUCUCUUUUCACGGCCACCAACACCUCCUUCUCCUCCGCUCACUCCCUCUACUAUCUCUCCAGCGCCAUCGCCUCAGCUGGCAAGCUCGCUCUCUCUCUCUCUCUAAAACCCUCUCCGUCUCUCUCUGGGAUUUCAGUCUAUGCCACACAACAAUUUCUCAUGGACACAAUGGAGCCUCCCCAGUCGCCAAACCUAGCCCCGGCAAGCCUCCAAGGAGAAAAACGCCUGCACCUUCAGAUCUAACUAUACGGCCUUGGAUUCGAAGCCUUCGCCGGCAGCUAAGUUGAAGAGUCUGUUGCCGCCACAGCCGCCGCCGUCAAAUCCUCUCAAACAGAAGCUUGGGAAAGACUGGGUAUUCACAUUUUUUCAACCUUUCAAGAGAGACAACUCUCAGGCCAAGCGGUCUAGCAUUUUCGAACUCUCGCGCCUGUUGCGGCAUCGCGGUCCUGAUUGGAGCGGGUUGCAUUGCCAUGGGGAUUGUUACCUUGCUCAUUAGCGAUUGGUUAUUGUGGACCCUGCCUCAGGAGAUCAACCACUCUGCAACAAGGACAAGACCGUUAUUAUCACGGUUAAUGGUGAGAUAUAUAACCACAAGCAGUUGAGAGAAACAUUAAAGGGUCAUCAAUUCUGAACUGGCAGUGGCUGUGAAGUGAUAGCGCAUCUUGAUCAAUUUGGUUUGCUUCAGAAAUGAAAGCUAUAAGUGAUGAUUGUGAAAGAUUGAUAUCUUUUCCUCCUGGGCAUUUAUACUCUAGCAAACAAGGACGGCUGAAAAGGUGGUACAAUCCACAAUGGUUUUUGGAGAAGAUACCAUUGACUCCUUACGAUCCCAUUGUUUUACGCGAUUAGUUGCAACCAUCACGCCAAAAUUCUCAUGGAAAAACUUCAGGAGCAUACAAAUGGUGACUGAUGUAUUAUAUUUCCUUUUCAAUGAAGAUUUGAACCUCCGAUCCCACUGUUAUUUAGAAAAAAUUUUGUACCAGUUCUUUAGCACAACCUUUAAGUAGCACACUGGCACACUAUGUUACUUCUUUUCAAAUGCAGGCCUUGAUGCUAGGAUAGGAAUGUCUUGUAAGCUCAAUGUCUUUUUGUCUUUCCCUUUUCCUUUCCUUUCUUUCCUUCUGUUUUUCUUGUUAUAGCUAAUUGUUCAUUUCAUUUUAUUUGCAGGUGAAAACAGAAGAACAAAUGGGAUAUAAGUACGGCGAGGCUUGCUUUCGUUUCUGUUUCUAGUAUUAUGUACCAUUUAGACUUAAAUUUUUGUUUUAUUUCGACAUGUUAUGCAUAGAAAUACUUGGGAUGUUGUUAUGUACUUUGAGCAUCAACAUUAAUCAAAAUUUAUUUACUUA